GCCCUGGUAGCUCAAUUGGUUAGAGCGUCGGACUUUUAUAGUCUUCGACAUAUGACGGCAUCCGAAGGCUGCGGGUUCGACCCCCGCCUGGGGCG
rnacentral:tRNA from 1 species